UACGGAGGAUCCAAGCGUUAUCCGGAAUCAUUGGGUUUAAAGGGUUCGUAGGCGGUUGUAUAAGUCAGUGGUGAAAUCCCUUCGCUUAACGAAGGAACUGCCAUUGAUACUGUAUGACUUGAAUUAUUAAGAAGUAACUAGAAUAUGUAGUGUAGCGGUGAAAUGCUUAGAGAUUACAUGGAAUACCAAUUGCGAAGGCAGGUUACUAUUAAUAUAUUGACGCUGAUGGACGAAAGCGUGGGUAGCGAACAGG
rnacentral:rRNA from 1 species